rnacentral:rRNA from 1 species
GCUUAACACAUGCAAGUCGAGCGGUAAGGCCCUUCGGGGUACACGAGCGGCGAACGGGUGAGUAACACGUGGGUGAUCUGCCUCGCACUCUGGGAUAAGCCUGGGAAACUGGGUCUAAUACCGGAUAUGACCUUACAUCGCAUGGUGUUUGGUGGAAAGAUUUAUCGGUGCGAGAUGGGCCCGCGGCCUAUCAGCUUGUUGGUGGGGUAAUGGCCUACCAAGGCGACGACGGGUAGCCGGCCUGAGAGGGCGACCGGCCACACUGGGACUGAGACACGGCCCAGACUCCUACGGGAGGCAGCAGUGGGGAAUAUUGCACAAUGGGCGAAAGCCUGAUGCAGCGACGCCGCGUGAGGGAUGACGGCCUUCGGGUUGUAAACCUCUUUCGACAGGGACGAAGCGCAAGUGACGGUACCUGUAGAAGAAGCACCGGCCAACUACGUGCCAGCAGCCGCGGUAAUACGUAGGGUGCGAGCGUUGUCCGGAAUUACUGGGCGUAAAGAGCUUGUAGGCGGCUUGUCGCGUCGAUCGUGAAAACUUGGGGCUCAACCCCAAGCUUGCGGUCGAUACGGGCAAGCUUGAGUACUUCAGGGGAGACUGGAAUUC